rnacentral:SRP_RNA from 1 species
GCCAGGUAUGGAGGCACACACCUGUAGUCCCAGCUACUUAGGAGACUGAGAUGGGAGAUCAUUUGAACCCAGGAGUUCUGGGCUGUAGUGUGCGAUGCCUACUGGGUGUCUGCAUCAAUAUGAGGACCUCUCGGGCGGAAGGUCCCACCACCAGGUUGGCUAAGGAGGGGCGAACCCACCCAGAUCAGAAGCAGAACAGGUCAAAACUCCUAUGCUGAGUGCUGUGAAUAACCACUGCACUCCAGCCUGGGCAGUGUAGACAGAUCACCUUCCU